GACUUCGGUUGGAAUUGGAACCGAUCAGCAGCGGACGGGUGAGUAAAGCACAAGGACGUAUCCUUUUGAGGGGGACAACUGCGGGAAACCGGAGCUAAUAGCCCAUAAGCCGAGAGGUGAAAGCGCGCAUGCGCGCAAGAGGACCGACUUGUGUCCUAUCAGGCAGUUGGUGAGGUAAGAGCUCACCAAACCGAAGACGGGUAGCCGGACUGAGAGGUUGUACGGCCACAUUGGAACUGAGAGACGGUCCAGACUCCUACGGGAGGCAUCACUGGGGAAUAUUGGGCAAUGGGGGCAACCCUGACCCAUCGACGCCGCGUGAGGGAAGACAGCCUUCGGGUUGUAAACCUCUGUUGCAGGGGAAGAAGGACGUGACGGUACCCUGCGAGGAAGCUCCGGCUAACUACGUGCCAGCAGCCGCGGUAAUACGUAGGGAGCGAGCGUUAUCCGGAAUUACUGGGCGUAAAGGGCGCGUAGGCGGUGACUCAAGUCGUUCGUUAAAUAUUGAGGCUUAACCUCAAGGAGCGGCCGAAACUGAGACACUGGAGACACAGAGAGGCAAACAGAAUUCCUGGUGUAGCGGUGAAAUGCGUAGAUAUCAGGAAUAAUACCGGUGGCGAAGGCGGUUUGCUGGGAUGUGAUCUGACGCUGAAGCGCGAAAGCCGGGGGAGCGAACGGGGAUUACAUACCCCGGUAGUCCCGGCAGUAAACGAUGUAUGCUGGGUGU
rnacentral:rRNA from 1 species